GCCAGUUUCUCACGAAUCCAAUCGAACGGGCUGUAGUUUUGUACCUACUGUCUUUUUGGACUGUUUCAAGGAAAAUGUUUUCAUGAACUGCCCAAAACAAAAAUGGAUUAACGUUCCCGAGUGUAAUGCCCUUAGAUCGAAAAUCUCUUCCGGAUGUACCUUCAAUGCUAUCAAGGGCUAUUCAAACAGUACACAUUUUUGAUUGGAAUUGCAUACCUAUGCAGAAAAAUGCUGAGGAAUAAACUCUCAAAUUAAUCCGCUCCAUA